rnacentral:rRNA from 1 species
UGAUGCAGCGACGCCGCGUGAGCGAAGAAGUAUUUCGGUAUGUAAAGCUCUAUCAGCAGGGAAGAUAAUGACGGUACCUGACUAAGAAGCACCGGCUAAAUACGUGCCAGCAGCCGCGGUAAUACGUAUGGUGCAAGCGUUAUCCGGAUUUACUGGGUGUAAAGGGAGCGUAGGCGGAUUUUUAAGUGAGAUGUGAAAUACUCGGGCUUAACCUGAGUGCUGCAUUUCAAACUGGAAGUCUAGAGUGCAGGAGAGGAGAAGGGAAUUCCUAGUGUAGCGGUGAAAUGCGUAGAGAUUAGGAAGAACACCAGUGGCGAAGGCGCUUCUCUGGACUGUAACUGACGCUGAGGCUCGAAAGCGUGGGGAGCAAACAGGAUUAGAUACCCUGGUAGUCCACGCUGUAAACGAUGAAUACUAGGUGUAGGGGUUGUCAUGACCUCUGUGCCGCCGCUAACGCAUUAAGUAUUCCGCCUGGGGAGUGCGGUCGCAAGAUUAAAACUCAAAGGAAUUGACGGGGGCCCGCACAAGCAGCGGAGCAUGUGGUUUAAUUCGAAGCAACGCGAAGAACCUUACCUAGACUUGACAUCUCCUGCAUUACUCUUAAUCGAGGAAGUCUCUUCGGAGACAGGAUGACAGGUGGUGCAUGGUUGUCGUCAGCUCGUGUCGUGAGAUGUUGGGUUAAGUCCCGCAACGAGCGCAACCCUUAUUGUUAGUUGCCAUCAUUAAGUUGGGCACUCUAGCGAGACUGCCCGGGUUAACCGGGAGGAAGGUGGGGAUGACGUCAAAUCAUCAUGCCCCUUAUGUCUAGGGCUACACACGUGCUACAAUGGUCGGUACAAUAAGACGCAAGCCCGCGAGGGGGAGCAAAACUGGAAAACCGAUCUCAGUUCGGAUUGUAGGCUGAAACUCGCCUACAUGAAGCUGGAGUUGCUAGUAAU